UCCCCCUCUCGAGUUACCAUAUGCGGCACGAGGGAGGCACGGCCUACCCGGGAUGCGGGGGCGGAGUCCGGUGCGGGUGCGGGUCGGCGGCGGCGGCGGAGCUCCACGCGGAGGCAAGGCGGCGCCCGCGGCAGGGCAAGGUGGCCCGACGCCACCGCGAGGGCCAUCCGCCUUCACCCCUCUCGCUCGCCUAGCGGCGGCGCGGCGCCGGGCCACGCGACGGAGGCGCCCGCACCAGUGCGGCGGCGGAGGACCCCAUGGCCCGCACUAGAGGCGCCGCCCCCGGGCUGGCGAGACCUCUCUUCCCCGGCCAUCAUCGGCGCGCGGCCGCCGCUCCGGAUGCCCCGGCUUGGCACUGCCUGAGCCGCCGUGGUGCCGUGGUGGUCCUCUGCAGCCGCAUCCCAUCGAUGGCGCGCAGAGCGUCUACGCCCAGCGUUGGGUGGCCGUUGUGGUUGCCCGUCACCCGCCCCACCCACCGACGCUAGCGCCGCCUUGCCCAUCGCACCGUGCCCCACGCCCUUCGCUUCGCCGCCGCCGCCAAGCGCGCCGCAGAUCCGCUAUAUCCCCAUUGCGCCUCAUGCCGUAGUGCCGCCGCCACGGAUCCGCGACAUCAAUACAUUGCAGAAGACAUCCUGUUAGCUUUUUACAUAGCUAUGUAAAAAAACUAACAGGAUCUCUUCUGCAAUAUAUUGAUGUAAAAGAUCUGGUAUUGGGGGAGGUUGGAGAUUUUGAACUUCACAUAGAAGUAGCAACAAGCUUGUAAUCCCAUACAAAGUUAAUUUUAUAGUCCAUAAUACACUGUGUCUGCCGCCCUCGAUCAGGUGAGCUACAUGUUUAGCCUAAGCAACUAUAUGCUGUUUUUUCCUCCAAGUCUCUUUGAUUGGACUGGUAAUUUUUGGAGGCUGGCCGUCAUUGCAUCGAUUUCAACAAACGUAACUGUUGCUUCUCGUCAGAUUUUUGACCGAUUUGGCUUGCCUGAUAGGAUUGCAUGGGCAUGGUGGCUCCUGAAGUACGUGGAGGAAGCAGAGUUUGGCCCGGACGCUGGCGUCAACACUGUGUUCCUCAUCGGGUCACUGGUGUCGAAACUGGAUGCUCUAUCAGAGUCGUGUAAAUGGAUGACCAAGGACAAAAAGUGUGCAUUGGUGCUGCUUUCUGAGGCGAAGCUCGGUAGCGAUCACAUAGGGCAGUAUGCAUAUAUUGGACUUAUGGAUUCCAGACUGUAAACAGCAUAGCUGUGCUGCUUUCUGAAGCGAAGCUCGGUAGCGAUCACAUAGGGCAGUAUGCAUAUAUUGGACUUAUGGAUUCCAGACUGUAAACAGCAUAGCUGUCCCAGCUUUGCCCUCCCAGGAGUACCUACCUGGGAUAACUAACUCUUGUACCAAUGAAGAGUAAGACAUUGCACCCAUUCUGCACAACUAAUCUCGUGGUAGUAGGAGCAACCAAUGGUGCUGGUGAAUAUACGUAUUCUGAUGUUUUCGCUUGUGGGGAUGCUCUACAUUUAGAUCCUGGAUGCAGCUCUCAGGUUUAUGCAGAGGUCAGCAUAAAUAGGUCUGCUACUUGCUAAAGGCUGGGCAUAAGAUGGUUUUUUGGUCUGUUCAUUUCUCUGAAAGAUAAAGUGUACUGAAAUCGCUGGCGAUUGCACUGAAAAAUAUGAAACUGAUGCCAGGGAUUCAUGACAGCAAAUGAUCUCCUGAAGGUAAGAAAGAUGGAUUGCUGCUGAUCCAGACAAUAUCUCAAAGGAUAUGCAGAGAUGAUGGUGUUUGAGCUUCCUCUCAGGAGCCACAUUGUUGUCUUCUUGGUUGUGGAAGAAGUAUAUAUUGCUUUCAGGUUGGGACUGGCUGUUAUUUGUUGGGACAGGAUUAGAGUGGGGAUAGUGUUUGCCGAUACUGUUGUGAAUCCGGGGAAUCCGUCUAGAGCUUUUAUUCCCAGACCUAUGCUUAAGGCCAUCUCUUUCCACAAACACUUGUGUUAGAAAUAACUAUCAAGUAUUUUCUAACAUUGUACUAUCAUUCCCAAUAAUUACAGAUGUGUCUGGCUUGUUGUUGACAAAACCAGUUGUCGCCGUCGUGGCCGCGACGAAGCCCAAGGCUGGCGCGGAGGCGCAGUGGAGGGAGGGCAAUGGUGAGGACAGGGAAGGUGCCAUUCGAGGAGCUCUGCGAUGAUGAUAAGAUUGCUGCGUUCUUCAAGUGGCUGAUGGGUGAGUGGAGCCAGGAGAUGGAAGAGAUGCCUGAGACGGAGCGGCGUACAGCCAAAGGGAAGGCUGCGCACCUGCAAGCAGUGCGCGCGAUACCUUGACCCGCUUUUCAAGCAGUGCAAGAAUAAAGUAUGGGCCAUCUGAUGUAGAUUCUCUGCCUUUGAUACGCUUGUAUCCGAGUGAUUUGGAUUUGAUCGGAAUAUGUAAAGGACUCAAGGGGAGCAAAAUGGUUGUCAUGGUGAUAAUAUCUGAAGCGGUGCCCCCACACCUCACCCCCACCCCUCUCUUGUCUAUAUUCCACUUUGAACAGCAGCUAUUGUGUUUAUCAUUUUUUUUUCAGAUGUAUAUCAGCAGUUGGUAAGUCAUGCAUAGGCUGGAUAUCAUCUUUCCAUUACCAGAAUGAAUGUGUCGCCAAUGCACCCAGGGCUCAGCUA